rnacentral:rRNA from 1 species
AGAGUUUGAUUAUGGCUCAGGAUGAACGCUGGCGGCGUGCCUAACACAUGCAAGUCGAACGGGUGUACGGGGAGGAAGGCUUCGGCCGGAAAACCUGUGCAUGAGUGGCGGACGGGUGAGUAACGCGUGGGCAACCUGGCCUGUACAGGGGGAUAACACUUAGAAAUAGGUGCUAAUACCGCAUAACGGGGGAAGCCGCAUGGCUUUUCCCUGAAAACUCCGGUGGUACAGGAUGGGCCCGCGUCUGAUUAGCCAGUUGGCAGGGUAACGGCCUACCAAAGCGACGAUCAGUAGCCGGCCUGAGAGGGCGGACGGCCACACUGGGACUGAGACACGGCCCAGACUCCUACGGGAGGCAGCAGUGGGGGAUAUUGCACAAUGGGGGGAACCCUGAUGCAGCGACGCCGCGUGGGUGAAGAAGCGCCUCGGCGCGUAAAGCCCUGUCAGCAGGGAAGAAAAUGACGGUACCUGAAGAAGAAGCCCCGGCUAACUACGUGCCAGCAGCCGCGGUAAUACGUAGGGGGCAAGCGUUAUCCGGAUUUACUGGGUGUAAAGGGGGCG